rnacentral:lncRNA from 1 species
CUGCAGAAUAUUCAACAAUCAUGACUACCAACCUUGAAUCUGCUUACCAUCUGUGCCAACUUGCCCACCCUCUUUUAAAAGCAUCUGGAGCAGGAAGCAUUGUGUUUAUUUCCUCUGUUGCAGGUGUGUUGAGUUUGGGUACUGGAUCAAUUUAUGCAGCAACAAAAGGUAUGAUACUGUCAUAGUGUAGCAUCUUUUCUGCUUUGAAACAGGGUAUGAAAAAGUUAAAAGGCUUUGUGUUCUUUUUUUCUGUGUGCAGCUGCAAUGAAUCAACUUACAAAGAAUUUAUCUUGUGAGUGGGCAAAAGACAAUAUCAGGAGCAAUAGUGUUGCACCCUGGUACAUCAAGACCUCUCUUGUUGAACAUGUAAUAUCCUUUAUCCUGCUUAUGCUCUUCCUAGAAUACUUCGUUUUUCUUGAGAUGUGUGGAUAUUUGGCAUGAAAGACGUGUUCUUCAUUAAUACUAUAUUAUGCAUUACUUCAUCUACAAUAGCAUACCUCCUAUUCCCGUCAUGACUACCAUAGUAACAUUGUCCUGAUCUAACAGCAUUGACAUCCUGCAUACGCAUAUGCCUGAUUUUCUUCUGCUAAACAUUCAGAACCUAGGUAUAUAUGGAUAAGAUGUAAUUAUGUGACAUUUCUAAUAGGUGAUUUGGUGGUUACCUUUGACUGAAAACACCAAUAGCAAUAAUCAACCACUUCCUUUCUCCCUCCAUGUAGUCUUCCUGGACAAGGGUGUCCAAUUUGUCUCAUGAAACAUGUUUUUUAAAGCAUUGAUACAUAUUUUAUUUUAUUUUUUAUUUAUAACCGAGGAACCUUUCAUAGCCAAGCCCUUAGGACUCUCCAUGUGGACCCAAACUUCGGGGUGUUGACCGCCCUGCAACAACUAGCACUGGGUAAAUUCAGGAUAUCAUCAGUGAUAGGAUUCGAAUCCAAAAUCAUGUGCCACUUAUUAGGACCACACUUCACGUUGACCAAUUGGGCUACCCUAACGGGUUUAAAGAAUUGAUACAUAGAACUAUAUAAUAUAUUAUACAUCUAACUUAAGUACGAAAGUUACAGCAAAAUUAUAAUGAAAAUAAAUAAGUCUGUAUGAUUACUAUGUCUAUGCAUACUAUACAUACUUGUAGUUCCCUUUGUUAUGAACCUUGUGUUCAACUUUCACUAGGGAACAGUUUCUCCAUGCAACCCCAUUUGUUAGCUUAAGAUUUUGGGAUAAAGAGAGUAUAGUUGAUUGGAAACCGACUCCAAAAGCAAUUAAGAAGUACUAGUGAUGCCCAUUUGUUUUGACUUGCAACAAAAUCUCAUGCUGAUUAAUAUCAAGAUCUCGAAGAACCUACUUUUGGGGCUCUCUUGCACCCCAUAUUGUGUUGGUACAGCCAAUCUUCCCCGGUCUUCUCCCGAUAUGGCACUUGACAAAUACUAGCUUCUACAAACCAAGACAUGACACUUUUUCUGUGUUUUCUUAUUGUAUGUAUAUGUCAAAAAUUUGAUUAAUUUGCAAUCUUGUACCUGUUCUCUACAUAUUUGCAUCUAUUUCCUAAGUUUUGUGAAGCUAUGGUCCAUGUCACCCUGAAUUGAACAAAUUUACAUCAUAAUAUUAAUAAAUCCUACUACUUCUUGAUUGUUGAUGUGGAUGUUGGUAUUGUAUUUCAAUUGUCGAAAUGUCUUAUAGUGACUGAGAUACCGGUACUUUGAUGUCAUGGUUACUAUAGGAAAAAAAAACAGAACAUCUAAAUUCACACUAGUAAACAAAUAAUGGGUGUGAUUUCAAAUCUAACAAAACCUAAGGGCUUUAUUAUGAAAAUCCCAAUUAGCAAUCAUGAAUUGUAUUCAAGUUUUUAUUUUACUGAUAACAGUUUUGUCUUGGUUGCAGUUGCUACAAAAGCAAGACUUCUUUGAAAGUGUAAUCUCCAGAACACCCCUCAGACGACCAGGAGAGCCGAAGGAGGUCUCAUCUCUGGUGGCAUUCCUUUGCCUUCCUGUGGCUUCUUACAUCACAGGGCAGGUUAUUUGCGUGGACGGUGGAAUGACUGUGAAUGGUUUCAAUCCCAACAUCUGAAAGAGGAAGUCAGCCAGCUUCCCGGAGUAAUAAAUUCAUUCUCUCUAAACUGUUACAACUUCCUAGAUGAAUUCCUUAAGUUUAUAGUCUCCAUUUUCCUGGUGGCUUUCAAUUCCAAGAAUACUAGUAUCUUGUAACACCAACCCCAUGCUUGUGUUAAACGGAAGCACCACCACCUUAGUUCCAUUGCUCACCAUGGUGUUGUUGGGUGGUGUCCCUAUAUAAAAUUGAAAGGAAAGAUUAGAGAACUUGGAUAAUCUGUGGUGUCCACGCCAUUGGAUUGCUGAAAAAUGUAAAAGUUCAUGUGACAUUUAUGUUAGCCUAACUCUACUAGAUAUUGCCAACCCCAAACAAUCACAAGUAAAAUAUCUAACCAAUUUAUAAUGUUAUUGGGAGGGCUCCUACAGCAACUAAGGUUGGUGCUUUGAACGGGUAAGGGCAUACUUUCGACCAAGAUAUUAUGAUUUGGGCAGAGAGUUUUUGUAAAUAAACAUUCUCUGGCAAAUUUAUAAAGGAGACAAAUAUUUUCAUUAAAGUCAAAAUAGAACCAAAAUGAAUAAAUAAAUAUUCUCUUGUUCAUAAAUUUUCUUAAUGAAAAAGACAAAUUAUUUAAAUAAAAAAACCAAAUUCUUUGAAUUAAAUAAUUAAAUCUUAAGAAAUUUCAAAAUUUAAUUUUCUAAUUUCACUUAUUAAUAUAGGUGACUUCCUUCAAUGAGCAGAUUUCUUUGGAUUAAAAAUACACAAAAUUUCACAAAAUUUUCACAUUAUAAAAAAAAAAAAAAAAAGUUUCACGUACAAAAACAAAAAACAAAAGAAGUACUACAUACAUGAUUUUCGUCUUUUAAUAAAUUCAUUCGAAAACAAGUCACUUGUGAUCCUCGAUUAAUCUCUAAAACUAAGGAAUCAUUUUGAUUGUGGUCUUUCAAAUUGUGAUCAAGAUGGAAGAAUCAGAAAAUUAUAUUCUUUUAUAGGAAAAUAUUACCAAAAAGAUUAUAACCCACAAAUUAUUAAUUUUAAUAAAUUUUUUGUUCUAGGACUUUCACAAGAUUUGUAUGUACAUUGAGCAAUAAAAAAACUUUAUUUUCCAUGUAAAAUAAAAUAACACUAAAAUAAUUAAUAUUAAUAAUAUUUUUUCAAGUCCUAAUACUAAAGUGGACAGUAUAAUUAUUACUCAUGUUUAUAAGAACACGAAUAUUGAAUUAUAUACUUAUGAAUGCAAACCAAAUGCUCGUGAUUACAAUUUAAGUUGUAUUCUUGUGAACGCAUAUGAAUUGUGUUCACUAGGACAUGAAUCUCUUUACGUUGAUUCAAUAGUAGUUGGGUUAGAGUCAUAUUGUCUAAGCACGAACCAAAGUCAUGUUCUAAUAAUUAUGAACAAAGUCAUGUUCCUAUGAACACGAACGAUGAUUUGAAUUAUGAACACGGAUAGAAAAUUAUCUCCACAUGAAUUUAGUUACAAGAAUUCAAUGAAUAUUUUAUAUUUUAAACUGUUUUAAUCUAAACUAUCGAAAUGAUGACAAAUGUAUUUCAAAAAGAUAUAAAAAUUGAAGAAAAUUCUAGAAGAUGGCAGAUAAAAAAUUAGUAUAACAACCAAUACCAAAUCGGUACGAAUGAAAAGUCGGAUCUAAUCACAAUAUAAUGUAUGUGCAAUUUAUUUUAUAUGUACAAUUUUUGCUUUCUUUGAUCAUUUUUUGUGAUUUUAGCUUAAAUUCAUCGAAAAGACGAGUUGCCUUUUUACGGGAUAAGACGGAUGAGUUCGUUAUUCAUCUUGAUAUAAAUUAUGAUAAUUGGUUGGUCACGCAAAAGAAGCCCCCUUAGAUUACAACUCACUCUCUGUGCCACAAAUGAGUAGUUGCAUGCUUGCAUAGGUAGUAAAUUUGUAAUGACCGGGUAUUUUAGACCACGUUAGAAUUUCUAAUUUGAAAAGUCUUCUUUCGAGUGGUGGUUAAAAAGUCAAAAAAGAAAAGUGGUUGGAGAACACGUGUUAAUUUUGGAUUGGCGAAAUUCGAAAUAUUUUAUGUCACGUCAGCCUUAUGGUAGAAAAUUUUUUAGCAUCGUAGAAAUUGAAAAUUUCUUGAAACAAAAACGAAAAAGUGAAAAAUGAAUUAAUUAAAAUUAACUGAAACUAAUUAAGUAAAAAUUAAAUUAAAUUACUUAAUAAUAAAAUUAAGAAAAUUAAAAUUUCGGAUUGGUGUUUAAUAAAUUAUUUUGUGUGUUGUUAAAAAAAAUGAAGUAAAUUGGAAAUGAAAUGAAAAAUAAGCAAAAUAAAAGAAAUAAAAGAAAAGAAUUCAAAGACUUAUUUUGUUGGGCCAUGGGCUUAUGGCUGGGGUUAAAAGCAAAAGAAUUGGGAUUUUAAAAAGGAAAAGAGAAAGGGAAUGGAAAGUGGCAGAAGGGAGCUCUCGCUGACUGCUGGGAAAAGUUUUUCCGUCAGAUCUUUGGUCUGCCGUUUGGAUGGCCUAACGUCGUCCGUUCCACGUGAAAUUUUGAGGAAGUGUUCUACUCGACGCGAGGAACAAUUCUACUAUGGCUGAUCUUGAUUUUAACAAUUUGAUUUGUAGAUCUGUAGUAUGAAAACCUAACCCUAAAACUUUAAUUAAAUGUUUUAUUCCUUGAAAAAAAAUUGUAGAUAUUGUCGUUAUGAGUUAAAUAAUGUUUGUGAUAUAAGAAUUUUAUUGGAUGAUUGAGAAUAUUUUUGAAAUUUUUGUGAUUUUGGGAUUUAUUUAUUUUUAUUAAUAAAUGGUUGCUUUUGGGUUGUUAAAAUUAUUAGAAUUGUUGGAAAAUUAUGAAAUUGUGGUAUAAUUUAUAAUUUAUUGAUAUACGUUUUUUUUAGAAUUAUUGGAAUAUUUUUUAUAAUUUUAUUGUGAAAAAAUAAUUAUAUUUGAUUAUUGAAAAUCAUUGAAGUUAUGGAAAAUUAUGUAAUGUUGGUAUAGAUUAUGUUUAAUUGAGCAACGCAUGCCAUCGCGCAUGCCAUGACGCGUGCCAUCGCCCGUGCCAGGAGCCGAGCCAAGACACGGGACGCGUGCCACCACCUGUGUCAUGACGCGUGCCACGGGGCCUUACAUGGUGCCCGCGAGCCGAGCCAAGACACGCGACGCGUGCCACGGGGCCUUGCAUGGUGCCCAUGACCCGAGCCAAGACACUUGACGCAUGCCACCGCCCGUGCCAUGACGCGUGCCACUUCAUCUCAAUUAAACAUAAUCUAUACCAACAUUCCAUAAUUUUCCACAACUCCAAUGAUUUUCAAUAAUCAAAUAUAAUUAUUUUUUCACAAUAAAAUUACCAAAAAUAUUCCAAUAAUUCUCAAAAAAACAUAUAUCAAUAAAUUAUAAAUUAUACCACAAUUUCAUAAUUUUCUAAAAAUUCCAAUAAUGUUAACAACCCAAAAGCAACCAUUUAUCAAUCAAAAAAAAUCCCAAAAUCACAAAAAUUCCAAAAAUAUUCACAAUCAUCCAAUAAAAUUCCUAUAUCACAAACUAUUAGAAAAAUGGGGCUAAUCCAACCUAUGGUAAUCACCCUAGAGGGGGGGUGAAUAGGGUGAUGCUCUCUUUUCGCAAAUUUAAACAAGUGAAUGUAAGAGACAAUUAUAUGCAAGUAUAUAAUAAGCAAUAUAUAAACAAUUGCAUAUAAAUUAAAGAGUAGGGAAGAGAGAAUGCAAAUACAAGAGUUUAUAAUGGUUCGGCACAACCCAGCCUACAUCCACUCUCCUCUAACUUCAAUCCCGAGCUUGAGGUUCCACUAAUUCAAGCUUCCAAACCAAGCCUUCAAGCAAUACAAUUGGAUUAUGGUUCCAAUUCACCCUCUUGGACUUUUGGCUCCAAACACCCUUUACACUUCUCAAGAGAUAUCCCUCUCUUGAACAACUUCCUCUCAAGGAUUUACAAAUAAAAGAUCUUACAAAAAUCCUAGCACAAGAACUUUAACUUCAAUUGAUAUAAAAAAACUAGGAUUAAAAUGUGCACUAAGGAUAUGCAAGUUUUAGAAUAAUGGUGUACUCAAAAACACUCUUCCAAGGCUCAAAUAUAAUCAAGAAAGAUUUGGGAAGGUUAAGUUUUUUUAACAAUGAAGAUUGGAGCCUUUUUAUAGAAGAGAAAGUCAAAUUAGCCGUUUGGGGGUUCGACCGGUCAAGCUAGGGGUCGACCGGUUGACUAGCCGUUAGCAUUUAAUGUUUGGCAGGUGACCGUUGGGCCUCAACCGAACCUCGACCGAUCAUCGACCAGACCUCGACCUGGAAGAGAAGGCCACUAGGGGAGAGAAAAACUUUUUGGCCUCCCUCGACCGGUACUCAACCAGACGAGCACAACCGGUCGACCAGUUCCUCAACCGGUUGAAAUGGCUGAGCCAUUUUUUGGCUCAACACCCAACCUUUUUCAACUUAAAACCUUUUAAAACAAGUUUAAAAGAUAUUUAACACAAGGUUUUAGUUGAAAACAUAAAAUCAUCCAAUUCUUAAGAUAUUUCAAACAAUAUUACUCUUGGAUGAUUUUGGUGCAUAAAUAAAAAAUGAAAUGCAUGAAAGUCCUAGUGUACCAACAACCUUACAAAGAGAUCUUAUGAAACUUGGGUCUUGAAAAACACUUCUCUUUGAGGUGGUCUUCUUCUUCAUGAUUUCUCUUUGGCUUGAUUUAUCUUUGUGAUUGUCACUUUGGAAAUCGUCUUGCCUAAUCACACUUGAAAUAUAAUCAUUAGUUCUAAACCUUGUUUUGUUAUCAUCAAAAUCAAGAUUACUCAAACUUUGGUUUCACACAAACAUUAUCUAGUUAACUCAUAACGACAAGAUCUACAAUUUUUACUCAAUGAUUAAAGCAUUUAAAUAAAGUUUUAGGGUUAGAUUUUCCUACCACAUAUCUACAAAUCAGACCGUUAAAAUCAAGAUCAGUCAUUGAGAAUCGUUCCUCGCGUCGAGUAGAACACUUUCUCAAAUUUUCAUGCGGAACAGACGACGUUCGACCGUCCAAACGACCGGCCAAAGAUCCGAUGGAAAAACUUCUCCUCACAGUCACCAAGAGUUCCCUUCUACCACUUUCCAUUCUCUUUCUCUUUUCCUUUUUAAAAUCCCACUUUUUUGUUUUUAACCCCAACCACAAGCCCACACCCAUCCAAAUAAGUCUUUGAAUUCUUUUUUUUUUUUAUUUCUUGUGUUUUGCUUAUUUUUCAUUUCAUUUUCAAUUCACUUCAUUUGUUUUUUUAACAACACACAAAAUAAUUUAUUAAACACCAACCCAAAAUUUUAAUUUUCUCAAUUUUAUUAUUAAGCAAUUUAAUUUAAUUUUUACUUAAUUAGUUCAAGUUAAUUUUAAUUAAUUCAUUUUUCCCUUUUUCGUUUUUCGUUUUCAAAAAUUUUUAAUUUCUACAAUCCUCAUAAAUUUUCUACCAUAAGACUGACGUGGCACAAAAUUUUCAACUCACCUAAUUGACUGCUCUCCAAUCAAUUAGUCAAAAUGUUUCCGAAGUUGAUUUGUUAUUGUAAUAUUAUAUUUUCUAACUAAAUAUUAUAAAGAAUAUUGUAUAGAAAUCAUCUUUGUUUUUAGAGUCAUCAACCUUCCUUCUAUAGUAUAUAACAGCUUCUUUGAACUUCGAAACAUGCGCUUUCCCUAGUUUAUAUGUGGUGUCCAAAUUAUUCUCUAGUUUUCAAUUAUUGCUAGGACUAUACAAAAAUAUUUUAAAAGACCUUCAAUUUAUUUUUCUUUUUUUUAAAUAAAAAAAAAACAUAUUCUUAGAACACAUUUUUAAAAACUGUUUUUUAGAUCAAAAGUUUAUAAAACAAUUUUUCUAAGUUUAAAAAAAAGUAUAAGAAAUUAAAAAAAAAAAAAUCAUUUGUGAAACAUUUAUUUAACAUGUUUUAUAAGUAAAAAAAAUUAAAAAUUAUUUUUUUUUCAAAACUUUAAUUUUUCAAGUAAAAAAAAAUCAUUUUUCUACUUUUUUAAUUUUAAAAAUAAAAAAUUAUUUUGAAGAACCAUCUCCACCACAACAAUAUAAAUGGCUAAAAAAAAUUAUAAGCAUCAAUAGUCAGAACUAGGCCCAUGUUGGCCCAUGGCUAUACCACUUGGGCCGGCCAAACCAGCCCAUAAGGCCUGGUUCUAGGAGAGCCUCGCCUGCAAAACACACCCUUAGGGCUUCGGUACUUGUUAACCCUCCCACAGUCAUGAUUACAUUGACCCAUUUUCUCUACUUUCUCUAGCAUGUUUUCUAACAAGUCCAGCCAAUCGACCCAAAAUUGGUCAUAGAUCUCAUGUAACUCGAUUUGGAUUUUGUCACCUAUCCCUUACUAGUCAAGAAACAUGUGAUGAAGGGGACAAGUCAUAUACAUCCAUUAUCACAUAAUGCAUGGCCUAGAGUACAUUUGGCACUCAUUGUAGAAAACGUUUUUAAACAUUUUAACUCUUGAAUGAUAAAAACUUUCAAGUAUUAAAAAUGUUUAAAACGCUUCUUAAAAUCACUAUCAAAUGAGUUCUUAAUAGUGGUUACAUGGUUGAAUUGUCAAAUCUAAAUUGAGUACUUGAAGCAACUCUACUUAAUCUCAUUUCUCUUUGUAUCAAGCCUCAUAAUGAAUUGUCCAAUAUUUAGGGUGACAAGAGACGAGACGCUCAAUUAUAAUAUUUUAAUAUUACUAUUGGAGUAAAGCUAAAAAGUUAUGGUUACAUGCUUGCCUCUAUAAAAAAUAAAAAAUGAUCGAAUUUUAAUGUAAUAUUCUCUAUAGCAUUAUAAAAUGAUUCUCUUUUACAUAUGGAUAUAGAAAAACUUCUCUAAACAUGUCUAUAGAAUAUAGAUAUGUUUAGUCCAAACAUGUUAAAACCCUAUGUAUCUUUAUGUAAAUUAUUUUAUUUUUAUAUUUUUGAACUAAUAUUGUUUGCAUUCAAGUAGCAUAACAAAAAUAAUAAAAAUCAAAUUUACAAAUUAAAAUUAAAAUAUAAAAACAAAAUAUUACUUCAGAACUCAAAAUUCAUUACUUUAUUAAUAUUUAUUUUAUUUACAUUGUUUUUUAGAUCUUUUUCCAUAUGGAUUUUUUCAUUAAUGUUUUUCCUAAAAGAAAUGUAAAAUUAAAUAUGUUUGAAAUUGAAAUCAUAAAGGUAUUUAAGUUCUUCUCCAAUACUAAUUCUUCGAUCUUUUUUAUUUUUCAUUAAAUUAUUAUUUUAAUAUUAUUUGUGUGGAUAAUGUUUAAGACAUUAUCCAUUCUUUCCUAUUAUUAUUUUUCUGCUUUUUAUGUCAAUAUUUUUAUUAAUUUUCUUUGAAUAUCAUAGUCUUUUUAAUUUUAAUAUUUCUUUAAAAGUUUUAUUUUAUAAAAUGCUAAUAAUAAAUUCUAUGAAAUUUUCAAAUAAAGUAUAUAAAUAGUAGUCAAUUGCAUUUCAUUUUCUUUAGAUACCUAUUUUAUAUUUUUUUCUUAUUUUAUUGAGGAUCAAAAUCAUAAUUUUAUUAUAUGGUAACAAAUUCUUAAUUGGUGCUCCGAUUGACCUCUUCAAACAUUUGGUUAGGAUUAGGAUAUAUAUAAUCCUAAAAAAAUCUCUAAGAUUCUUUAUUAAAAUUAGAUGGUAGCAUAUUCUGCUCUUCAAUUGAUCUACGAGAUUCUAAGGUUAUUGUUCACCAGAAUGAGAUAAAAUAAUAUACUUAUAUCUUAUAAUAUCAUAUCUCAUUUAAUAGAAUAUAUAUAUAUAUAUAUCUUAAAAUAUCAUUUUUAAUAGGGCAUAAUAUCUUUAGAUAUUAUAUUUGAUAUACAUGAUAUCCCAAAAUAGUAAAUAUAAUAAAAUAUGUUAUACAAUGUUUAUAUUUAGUUUGUGAAAGAACAUGAAUGUUACGCAAGAGUGUUCUUAUUGACGAGAACACGAGUAUUCGUAUUCCCGUCUUUUAUGUUAACAAACACGUUCUCUAAAAGUGAUAUGUGUCAUCUUUAACAAAUUAUAAAAGAUGAAGAGCCUUCAAGAAAAAAUAAGAUUUUUUAAAACAAAACAAGUAUGAUUUUAUAGCAUAUUUUCUAAUUUUCCUUUUUUAAUUAUAAAUUUAAUUUUUUAAAUCAAAUUUGUUUAUUUUACCAAAUAAGUAAGAUAUGUAUAUCUCAUCACUAACAAUAUAUUAUUCUUUUACUUAUCUCAUACUAUAUCCAAUCAUCUAAGUAUUAUAAAAGAUUCCUUAUUUAGUGAAUUUUAUUUAGUUAGGAUUAAAAUUAAUUGCUAUCACAUAUUUUAUUCUAUAUUAAUCCCUUUAAGUCGAUCAACGCACUAAGGGUGCUCUAAUUCAUCCACAUAAAACCAAAAAAAAAAAAAAUCGUUAGAAAAAGGAAACCCAAAAAAACUAAAAGAAAAUAUUUUUAUUUAUUUUUCUAUUAAUUAAUUAUGUUAUAUUUUUUAACACGUGAGAAGGAUUGUCUCACGUGGGAUAGCUUCUCAAAAUUUCAAGGGCCACGAGGCGUUUAUUCAUUUGCUGGCUCAUGCUCAUUUGAUUUUUGAUGUUAAGCCAAGUAAGAUGUCGGCUACAAUAAGCAAAGGAUAGUUCCUCAUGCACCAGUGGAGGUCUCAUCCACACGGGUUGGCUUGGCCAGGUGAAUUGUUGGCCCUUGAAAUUAAUAAAAAACUUUAUUUUCCACGUAGAUUAAAAAAAUUAAAAAUUAUUAAUAUUAAUAAUACUUUUUCGAGUCAUACUCGGGACUAGUGUCACACGUUGAUCAUUUUUUCCUGAAAAGACGAGUCACCUUUUUGAAGGAUGCGUUGGAUAUUAACACCGAAAUGAAUUCAAUUUUUUUGAAAUAUGAGUGGGUUGGUCGUGCAGAAAAAGCCCCCCUUAGAUUUCACCUCACUUUCCGCGCCACUAAGAGAAGUUGCGUAUUUGCCUAGCAUUUUGCUAUGGAUUUUAUUGGAGGGAGUGGGGGCAAAAGUGUUUCCAGCCGAAACCAUCAACGCCAGACAAGGGAUUUGACCUAGCCCACGCUGCCACGUCACAUCUUAGGAAGCUGAAAUACUAGGUCUAUAAAUAUGAAGGAAUCUUAGGUAGUGAGUGAAUCAAAGGAUCGACAUCCAUUUCAAGAACGGCGUCGUUUUAGUGGCGUGUUAAACACGACUAAUUCCUUUUUAUGUGAUUAGGAUAUCCGAAUCACCAAAGAACGAUCCACGUUCCCCUAUCCUCGCAGAGAAGGUAUCGUAUCAUGGCGGAAUCAAACGGCAGUUUUGGCGGCUCUGGAUGGUCUCUCAGAGGCACCACCGCUCUCGUCACCGGUGGCACUCGUGGAAUCGGGUAUCCGUCUCCUACAUUCCCUUUUUCUCUCUCGUCCUUUCGCUUUCUUUCGCUUUCUUUUCCAUGAUUUUGGCUUACUUGGAGCCAUUUCCAUCUACUUUCUUUUGAUCGAACCCAUAUCGCUACAUGACGCUGUUUUCUCUCUAAACUUUCGUAGAUAUGCGGUAGUAGAAGAGCUGGCUGGACUGGGUGCCACCGUACACACCUGUUCACGUAACGAAGCAGAGCUCGACAAAUGCUUGCGUGAAUGGCAUGCUAAGGGUUUUUCAGUGACUGCUUCGAUUUGUGAUGGGUCGGACCGAGCCCAACGUGAGAAGUUGAUGGAGAAGGUCUCUUCCAUUUUCAAUGGGAAGCUUAAUAUCUUGGUGAGUAUGCACUAUACCAGCCGGGUCUUAAUUUUUUUUUGCUUUUACAGUGGAUGGCUUUUUGGAUUUUGGUUUGUAGAGCUUAAAUUCAAUUUGAAUUUUGAAACCUGUUUAUUUGUAAAGAGACUAUACCGUGGGUUCUGAAUAAGGACAUUCGAACUGAAAAUAGACUUGUGUGGUGGAAGUAUCUGUAUGGAAAUGGGACGAACAAGUGGCAGUCAUUUGGUGGAGAGACUCAGGCAGCGUUUGAUACGUGGGCGUGGGAAUAGGAAUGGAAAUAGAAACUGCCAGGGAAUGAAAGUGAGUCACGAUAACAGGCAGAAGAGAGUAAUGAAAAUCCUAAAAAGACUAGGAUUCUAUUUCUAUAUUAAUGAAUUUUCUACCCAUUUAAAAAUAUUUUCCAUUUCUGUUCUCAGUUCACAUGCUUGAAGAGAGGUUUCAGUAUGAAAACUUUUGUAUAUCAUUUAAGAUUUGUUUUUUUUUUUCUAAAAAUUGUUUUCAGUGCAAAAACAAAACAAGUGAAAAAACGUGACAAGUAAUAAAAAAAAUCAUUUUUGUAUUUUUUUAAACAAUUAUUUUUUAAAAAUAAUAUUAGAGAAAAAAAUCCCUCAGAAGUUGGUCAAGAUAAGUAAUUGUGAUCUGGUUGAUUAAAGGAGUGUCCAAAUGAAAUACUCCUACUUUUGGCUGUUUUAGUUGCUAUCUCGGUAGGUACUUAGUCUUAUAAGCUUUUGUCCUUUGAGGUUGCCUAUAUAGAUUAGGACAGCAUGAGCUUGUGUUUCUAAGCUGUGUCAUAUGUGCCCUCCGAUGAUACAAGAGUAAACAUUUUUUUUUUUUUUUUUUUUUUGAAUUUUAGAGUAGUGCAGGAUAAUGCAUGUAUCUUUCAUUUUCACUCAUAUAUAUAUAUAUGUUUUGGGCCCAGGUAAAUAAUGUGGGGACAAGCUUCAGGAAGCCAACAGUUGACUACACUGCUGCAGAAUAUUCAACAAUCAUGACUACCAACCUUGAAUCUGCUUACCAUCUGUGCCAACUUGCACACCCUCUUCUAAAAGCAUCUGGAGCAGGAAGCAUUGUGUUUGUUUCCUCUGUUGCAGGUGUGGUGAGUUUGGGUACUGGAUCAAUUUAUGCAGCAACAAAAGGUAUGUUACUUUCAUGGUAUAGCAUUGAGUUGGAAUUGGAAACCGGGCAUGAAAAUUGUAAAGGGCUUUGUGUUCUUUUUUCUAUGCAUGUGCAGCUGC